rnacentral:rRNA from 1 species
GCUCCAAUAGCGUACACUAACGUUGUUGCAGUUAAAAAGCUCGUAGUUGAACUUUGGGUAGGAGUGACCGGGCCUCGGGGUGAAUGCCCCUUGUUUUGCCUGUGUUGUCUCUGGCCUCCUCCUUUUUUUGUUAUGAAAAAGGGUCUUUCACUGUAAAAAAUUAGGGUGUUUCAAGCAAAAGUUGUUUUGGAAUAGAUGAG